AUCUAGCUGACGAGUCCCAAAUUGAAUGGAACACGCGUCCUGGAU
rfam:Schistosoma rodhaini strain Burundi genome assembly, scaffold: SROB_scaffold0016319